rnacentral:rRNA from 1 species
UACAGAGGUCCCAAGCGUUGUUCGGAUUCACUGGGCGUAAAGGGUGCGCAGGUGGGUUUGCAAGUUCGAUGUGAAAGCCCCGGGCUUAACCCGGGAAUGGCAUUGGAUACUGCAGAUCUGGAGGAUCGGAGGGGGGACUGGAAUUCUUGGUGUAGCAGUGAAAUGCGUAGAUAUCAAGAGGAACACCUGUGGCGAAGGCGAGUCCCUGGACGACACCUGACACUGAGGCACGGAAGCUAGGGGAGCAAACAGG